GACGAACGCUGGCGGCGUGCUUAACACAUGCAAGUCGAACGGAAAGGCCCUGCUUUUGUGGGGUGCUCGAGUGGCGAACGGGUGAGUAACACGUGAGUAACCUGCCCUUGACUUUGGGAUAACUUCAGGAAACUGGGGCUAAUACCGGAUAGGAGCUCCUGCUGCAUGGUGGGGGUUGGAAAGUUUCGGCGGUUGGGGAUGGACUCGCUGGUUAUCAGCUUGUUGGUGGGGUAGUGGCUUACCAAGGCUUUGACGGGUAGCCCGCCUGGGAGGGUUGCCGGCGACAUUGGGCCUGAGGUAGGGCCCAGACUGCUACGGGAGGCAGCAGGGGGGAAUAUUGCACAAUGGGCGGAAGCCUGAUGCAGCAACGCCGCGUGCGGGAUGACGGCCUUCGGGUUGUAAACCGCUUUCGCCUGCGACGAAGCGUGAGUGACGGUAAUGGGUAAAGAAGCACCGGCUAACUACGUG
rnacentral:rRNA from 1 species